UUCUUAAGUUUCUUGGUGUCGGCACUAUUCCUCAUUGUUGUGUUAUGGUAAGGUGGACAAUGGAUGUGAAAGCGGCAUUUGAGUCAGAUAGAAGUACCAACACUCAUGUGUGGUCUGAGCAGAUGGAUUGUUACCGUGACCUGAGAAACAUGAGUAGUCUUGCUUUAUUUAUAGCCUCUAAAUCAUCUUAGAAGGCAGAAAAGGUAAGAAAUUUCUUUCGGAGUAUUAUGGAGGAAGACUCGGUGAACCCCAAUAAAGAGUGGCCGUUUGGUCCUUUGCCAGCGCACUAUUCAGCAUGUAACCAACCCCACAGGACGAGAGUCCUUGAUCCUGAGGUGAUUACUUCUAAAGGUGCCCCGUCAAAGAAGAGAUUGAGGCCAAUCAGUGAUUCUUGGAAUAGAAGAAACCAUUGAAUACACUGUAAGCGAACUGUGUGUGGCUUGUGAUUGUCCUGAUGAUGCUUUUGAAGGGGAAGACUGGAAACGAUGGUUGACACUGCUGCCACUACAUGAACUGCAUGCCAACAUCCAGAUGGAAGUGCAGUAUUUAGAUGCUUCAGAAUUUCGAUAGCUCUUCUGGAAAUAACAAAUAUUGUUCGGGAACCAAAAAUUUAUGCUUUGUAAUUUGAGCUUUUGACAGAUGUUUAUUUCAGACA